rnacentral:rRNA from 1 species
AGUCUGAACCAGCCAUGCCGCGUGAAGGAUGAAGGCCUUCUGGGUUGUAAACUGCUUUUAUGUGGGAAUAAAACUACGGUUUCUACUGUAGCCGACGGUACCAUAAGAAUAAGCACCGGCUAACUCCGUGCCAGCAGCCGCGGUAAUACGGAGGGUGCAAGCGUUAUCCGGAUUCACUGGGUUUAAAGGGUGCGUAGGCGGGUUAUUAAGUCAGUGGUGAAAUCUCCGGGCUCAACCCGGAAACUGCCAUUGAUACUAUUAUCCUUGAAUUCGGUUGAGGUGGGCGGAAUAUGUCAUGUAGCGGUGAAAUGCAUAGAUAUGACAUAGAACACCAAUUGCGAAGGCAGCUCACUAAACAACGAUUGACGCUGAGGCACGAAAGCGUGGGGAUCAAACAGGAUUAGAUACCCUGGUAGUCCACGCCCUAAACUAUGAUUACUCGAUAUACGCGAUACACAGUGUGUGUCUGAGCGAAAGCGUUAAGUAAUCCACCUGGGAAGUACGUCCGCAAGGAUGAAACUCAAAGGAAUUGACGGGG